AUCUCGGAAGCUAAGCAGGGUCGGGCCUGGUUAGUACUUGGAUGGGUGACCGGCUGGGAAUACCAGGUGC
rnacentral:rRNA from 10 species